rnacentral:rRNA from 1 species
GACGGGUGAGUAACGCGUGGGAACGUGCCCUUCACUACGGAAUAAUCACUGGAAACGGUGACUAAUACCGUAUACGCCCUUCGGGGGAAAGAAUUUCGGUGAAGGAUCGGCCCGCGUUGGAUUAGGUAGUUGGUGGGGUAAUGGCCUACCAAGCCGACGAUCCAUAGCUGGUUUUAGAGGAUGAUCAGCCACACUGGGACUGAGACACGGCCCAGACUCCUACGGGAGGCAGCAGUGGGGAAUCUUAGACAAUGGGGGAAACCCUGAUCUAGCCAUGCCGCGUGAGUGACGAAGGCCCUAGGGUCGUAAAGCUCUUUCAACGGUGAAGAUAAUGACGGUAGCCGUAGAAGAAACCCCGGCUAACUCCGUGCCAGCAGCCGCGGUAAUACGGAGGGGGUUAGCGUUGUUCGGAAUUACUGGGCGUAAAGCGCGCGUAGGCGGAUUGGAAAGUUGGGGGUGAAAUCCCGGGGCUCAACCCCGGAACUGCCUCCAAAACUAUCAGUCUAGAGUUCGAGAGAGGUGAGUGGAAUUCCGAGUGUAGAGGUGAAAUUCGUAGAUAUUCGGAGGAACACCAGUGGCGAAGGCGGCUCACUGGCUCGAUACUGACGCUGAGGUGCGAAAGUGUGGGGAGCAAACAGGAUUAGAUACCCUGGUAGUCCACACCGUAAACGAUGAAUGCCAGUCGUCGGGUAGCAUGCUA